GACGAACCGUGCGAACGUUAUUCGGAAUCACUGGGCGUAAAGCGCACGUAGGCGGCUUGUUAAGUCAGGGGUGAAAUCCUGGAGCUCAACUCCAGAACUGCCUUUGAUACUGGCGAGCUUGAGUUCGGGAGAGGUGAGUGGAACUGCGAGUGUAGAGGUGAAAUUCGUAGAUAUCGGGAGGAACACCAGUGGCGAAGGCGGCUUCCUGGCCUGUUCUUGACGCUGAGGCGCGAAAGCUAGGGGAGCAAACGGG
rnacentral:rRNA from 1 species